rnacentral:rRNA from 1 species
CAGCACCUCAAGUGGUCAGGAUGAUUAUUGGGCCUAAAGCAUCCGUAGCCGGCGCUGUAAGUUUUCGGUUAAAUCUGUACGCUCAACGUACAGGCUGCCGGGAAUACUGCAGCGCUAGGGAGUGGGAGAGGUAGACGGUACUCGGUAGGAAGGGGUAAAAUCCUUUGAUCUAUUGAUGACCACCUGUGGCGAAGGCGGUCUUCCAGAACACGUCCGACGGUGAGGGAUGAAAGCUGGGGGAGCAAACCGGAUUAGAUACCCGAGUAGUCC